UAAUUUCUUGGCUAAGCACAUCCUUCCGGUGUAAAUUACAGCAAAGUACUUAAUCUAGCUGUCUCACUGCCUUAUCUGCUAAAUGGGAUAAUAACAUCCCUUGAUUCUCACUUUCCAUCUGUCUGGUCUGUGUAAGGACAGAAUACAAGAGGAAAGGAAAUGCUUCUUUCUAUAGCCAGAUUCACGCUUCCAAAAUCUGCUGACCGAGCUCUUGCAUUCAGACUUGAGUGUUUGGUGAAACUGGCUGUGCUUGCAUAAUCUGGUGAUACGAGUUGCAGGUUUGGUGACACAGUUUCUUUAAUUGGGUAAUAUGGGACUAGAAUAAUGUAUGUCAGUUGAAGUCCUGCCUUCAACUGAAGCAUUUUUAACAAUAGCUUGGCUACCAAAAUGCUUCUACAGUAAAACUUAAGAAUGUUUGUGUUGUGUCUAAGACAAGCGCAUUCUAAAUAUAUUUGAUAAUUCUGGGCUUCAUUAUGAUAUAAGGAGUAAAUUAGGAAUUUUUCAAUGAAUAAACACUUACUGACACAAAACCAAGUCUCUUGACACCACCUACAUUGUGUUCUACUCUUUUACUAAUUACAGUGUCCACCUACCCUGUUCUGCUUUCACUCCUGGCUUUACUUCUAGUGCUUCAGUGAGAAGCGUGAAAUCAGACAGUGAUUUCCCCAUGAGGACUAUGGGUAUAUUGUCGUGCUUUGCAGGGAGAUUAAAGAGAUUAUUUGAAAUCUGGAGACCUCUUCAAGGCUUGGAACUUGUAAAUUUUCUGAAGGUAGUGCUAAAACCCUUCUUGUGAGCUCUCUAUUGGAUGUUACGUGUACUCUCUAUGCACACCUCUUGAGACAGAGCUCAUACCAGCUCCUUUCUUUAAGACACUUGAGAGUGAAGAUCAUGCUGGCCUCAGCACAAAUGCCCUAAAAAAGCCCUACCAUGAGGAAGAGUGCCAGCACCUGUGCCAAAGACCUCUGCAACAACACUCAUGGAACAAAUGUGAACAAAAGUUAGAUUGACAGAGAAUUGUUAGUUAAGGGAUGGGGAAAAAAAUGAUAUAUAUGUAUUUUUAAAAUAAAAGACUAUUAGUAGUGGAUAUAAUACAUACAAAACAGAAACCCAAGAGAAUACCACAGAGCGUACUUCAUGAUGUUAUAUACUGCAUAUAUAUAUAUGAGUAUAUAUAUGAGUACAUUUACAUAUUUUCAUUAUUUUUUGUUUACAUUUGUUUUCUUUGCAGGAAAACGUUACCGCUGUAUCUGCAGAUGGAAAUGAUGAACUUUGCUUCCUUCAGGAAUGAAUUGGCAGAUUUACUCUAUCACCUUGUUAUGUAAUGAAACAACUAUGAACCAGAACUGUAAGGAUGAGCUUCAUAAGCAUGGAUUCCUUUUGCUCUUCCUGGUACCAUAGCUAGAUACAAGCAUUGCAGGCUAAAGCCAGUGUAGAUUUUACAGAAAACAGUAAUAAGGAAGAAGACACAAAGUAAUAAAAGCAACAACUUUCAGAUCAACACUAAGCUUACCUAUAGAAAAUACUCUACGGCUGUUGGACGGCAAUAUCUACAAGAACCUGUUUAUCUUUCAGUAUACUCCAGCUAUUAAUACCACAGAUAAGAUACGCACAGCUCUGUGUUUGCAAAAAACAAGACAAAGGAAGUGAUCCCAUCAGAAAUACAGCACUUUCUGACAUUCAAAGGAAUGCCUGAAAAUAGUAUCAAGUUAUCUUGUUGGGAACUACUUGCAUCCUUUGAUUCCAGGAGACAAGUGCCAGUUUUCGUUUUGAACAAUGCUUCCUAAAGCCAUAAAAGGUAAGAUUUUUCUGUGAGAACUUUUCACCCUUUGAAUCACAGUAUUUAUGAGAAGUUAUAUUUCUCAGUACAGCACUUGCAUUGGAAAACAAUAUGCCAUCAGUAGCUUUCAGUACUGUGUGG